rnacentral:sRNA from 1 species
CGAGAGCCUGCGAAAGCUGCAGCGGCUGCAGAAGGGCCUUCCAGAGGAGGACGAGGACCUGGGGCAGAUCUUCACCAUCCGCAGGUGCCCCUCCACGGACCCAGAAGAAGCCAUUGAAGAUGUUGAAGGACCCAGUGAAACAGCUGCUGAUCCAGAGGAGCUUGCUAAGGACCAAGAGGGCGGAGGCGAGAAAGACCAGGGCAAGUGGACAGGUAGUGUGUGUGGCUGUCCUUGAGCCUUCUAAUCUUUCCUUCCCUGGAAGAAUGGAGCUAACAAGUCAGGGAGCGGAUACAUCCUUAGUCUGCCCAGAAAAAGGAUGAGUGGGAGGGAGAUUUCGUUUGCUUCUUUGAGCAGUCACCUUUAUUCUUCUUUAUUAUACUACAUUAUACUGUAGUUUUUAAUGGUUAAGCUUUUUAAGUGGCACCAAAGCCAGCUUGCUUAUUGAGUAUCCAGGU